UGAGCCCUUAGCUUAUUUAAAGUGUCUGAUUUGCGUUCAGGAGAUGUAGAAUUAGAUUUACAGGUCUUCAGGAUU
rnacentral:tRNA from 1 species